GAUGUGAGCUGUCAAUGGCGUCACAGUGUUGUAUAAAAGCUGCAACACAAAAGCGAUUUAUUUAUCAAACUUUCAUACGAGAACUAUUGCAUUUGCCUAUGUAAGUACAUUUUCAGUUACAUACAAUUUUAUGGUAUUAAAUGUAAAUCUUUUAUAUUAAGAAUAGAAAUCAAUAAUUUUUUUUAAACAAACAGCAGAAUAUACGCUUAAAGCAAAUUCUGCUACGUAACAACAUUAUUCUUAUAUUUGCAUGAAGAAUAACUUCAAGUAAAAUGUGAUGCAUAGUUUUACACAUGUGAUGAUGUCGGCAUUAGUUUCAAAAUUUUAAGCAUUUUAUGUCUAUAUUAAAUUAUUUCAAACACGUGACACGUUUCAUAAAUUGUCAGUUAUAAAAGCUCAUUCUGAGGCUACUGUAAACAAUUCGUAUUCAGGUUAAUUGAUAUCGCGGCAACUUAUACAUGUUAUAUUGGUUAAAGACUGUACAAUAACAUCUGUCUUAUGUUAAAAUAAACUGACAUGCGAUCGAAUUUUAAAUCCGCUUGUAUUCGUUUUACUCUGAUAAAGAUUGUGUGGUAGACAUAUUUUUUUGGAGAGUUUCAUAUAAUCUCAUAACAGUAAGAACUCUCUUGAACCAAAUAUUUUCAAUUUGACAGAAAAAAAUUAAAUCGAAGUUUUGUCGCAAAUAGACAAACAUAAUUUAAGGAAACAUUGAAAUUAUUUAUUUCCUGGUGUCGCUACGAAGUUGCACUGUAGAACACAAAGCCCGAUACGUAAAAAGAUUUAUCUAAAUCCAUGCAUACUAAGUUUUUACUAUUACCAUUGCUUGGUACUAAUGUAAUGUUAUCAUACAAAAUACUAUGAAUUAUUUGUAUAUGCAUUGUAGUGUCUAGCAGAAAAAUAAUUCAGAAGAAUGAAGGUUUUUGUUUGUUUGGUAGCCUAUAUGUUAUUAAUGUCUGUUGGAGGUAAGAACACAUAAGAGUUGCUUUUAACAUGGACGUUAAAUCAAUAUUUUUAAACAAUGUUUUCUUUCGAGGUAUCCAGACCCACAGAAACAAUAUAUUUUAACAAAACGUAAGGAAUCUUCUUCUACAAAUCAACUGACUGAAAUACAAUGUUUGUGUAAAAAGGCAUCUGUUUUGUUGUCACAGUUAAACGAUAACAACACUAGAACAACUUGUAACUGAGAUAUUUCCAACUACCUAAGAAUUAUGCUGUUUAAUAAUUAUGUCUAUUUUCUUAAAUUCUUUGUACUUAACACGUUCCUGUUGGAGACAAUACGUUAAUGAAAAGAUUGCUUAAGUAAUGAUUUUCAUUGCUGUCUUAUUGUCUUGAAAUCCAUUUUUAUACUUUUAUAGAUAUUUGAACAUUGACAUUAAUCUACCAUAUACUUUUAUACUUUUAUAGAUAUUUGAAUAUUGACAUUUCAGUUCUUCUUGAAAUAUUUAGGAAGGAAAUGAAAUUACAGACCUGCUUUUUAACUUCACCAACUUCUUCGGCCCUAUUUACAUAUCAAUGGCUGUUUAAUUCUGUUAGUUUUUUUUUAAAUUUGUAAUGAACUGUUUUAGAAUUAUUUCGUUCUAUAAAUUUAUCUUGAAACGUAAUCAAAUUUAAAUGUGGAAUCCAAAAAUAUGGUUUUCCCGUAACUAACUAACAUCUUUCAGAUUUUUGUAUUUGCAUGAUGCAACAUGCAUACCUGGUCACGAUAUGAUAGUAUAAACAAUAUUUUCACUUGUAGUCAGCAUGGCAAAUGACGAAUUGAUGGAAGACAAUGAACUUACUCAUGAGUAAGUUGAGUUUACAACAUGUUAAUGUUUUCAUUAUAAGAAUCAAUCAAAUGAUAUUAUUAAAAUCUUUGUCAACAGUUAAGUGAGAAUAUAAAAGUAUAAAGGACCACUGACUGUAUUAUAGAUUAAAGUAUAUUUCUAUGACAUGGAAAAGUCUCAAAUCUUAACAAAUAAAAGCUAACACGACAAUAACAAUUAACACUUUUGGACGUAGUUAGUUAUAAAUGCAACACUGAUGUAUAUUGAUAUUGUAUUGUUUGUUGCACAAAACCAAUUAAGACUAUAGAUUAAGAACGGUAACACUGUAUAAUUUAAAAAAAUCAAACAUGUAAGAACCAUGGAAUAGACACCCAUCAUGUUUGUUAGUCAAAAUCCGGUACACAGGCAAAAUUUGCUCACAUGAAUCACAUGAUCUUACAUGAAAUUCACAUAAUAAAUUUCACGUGAGAUUCACCUCAAUCGAGCUUAUACAUGAAACUCCGCGUGAAAAUUUUAAUGUGAAUUUCAAUGAAUUGAGAUUAACAUGAAUUUGAUGAGAAAUAAUAAUUUUAAAAAUUGAUAUUUUUCAUGAUCUUAAUUAAAUUUGAAAAUUGAGAUGUUUAAAAUACUCUAUUUUCAAAGUUCAUGUGAAUUUCACAUAAAAACAUUUACGUGAUUUUUAUGUGAGAUUCACAUGAGUUUCACAUGAGAUUCGCGUGAACCUUACAAAAACUGAUUUCACGUGAGUUUCACGUAUAAGCUCGUUUGAGGUGAAAUUCAUGUGAAUUUCACGUGAGAUUCACAUGAAUAUAAAUUCACGUGAAAUUGUUGUAAAUGAAAUUUGCAUGUGUAACAAAAACAAAAACUAAAUACCACAGUACGAAAGCAAUACUUUAGUUAACAAACGUUCGCAACCCGCUUUAUCUCUGGACUUUGUCGGAAUGACAUAAUCGAGUCCAGAAAAGUUUGACAAAAGUAGAGAAGAAGAAUAAGCAACGUACAAGUUUUAUCUAAGAACACACACAUAUAUAUUUAAUUAAUAUAAAGACAGUGUUUUUUUGACUUUUUAAAGACGUGCAGAUGAUCACGUGGUAAGGUUUAACUUAUUAAGAUUUACACAUUGGGCUAUAUGGACUCCAUAUUCAAAUUGUUUUUCCAACGAAUAUUCAGAUAUAAAUCGAUUUAACCAUUACAUGAAAUAUAUGAUAAUACAUGUAUGUUUCGUUUUUUUUUUUAUAAAAUAUACAUUAUAAGUGCUGUGUAUUUCAGUCGUGUAAAAAGAGCUCCAUGUUAUAAUAGAAGAUGCGUUACCAGCUAUCAGUGCUGUUCUGGCUAUAGGUGCUCAUACAGAAGAUGUGUUCGAAGAAAAGGCUAGAUAGUGGACCCGUCCAUUAUUUACAAGUUCUAGCAAUCAACACAGAUAUGAAACAAAAUAUUGACCACAAAUAUAGGACUUGUGUAAUAAAU
rnacentral:lncRNA from 1 species